rnacentral:rRNA from 1 species
GAUGAUGUGGUAUUAAUUCGAUGCAACGACGAAAAACCUUUACCUACCCUUGACAUGUCCGGAAUCCUGCAGAGAUGCGGGAGUGCCCGAAAGGGAAUCGGAACACAGGUGCUGCAUGGCUGUCGUCAGCUCGUGUCGUGAGAUGUUGGGUUAAGUCCCGCAACGAGCGCAACCCUUAUCAUUAGUUGCUACGCAAGGGCACUCUAAUGAGACUGCCGGUGACAAACCGGAGGAAGGUGGGGAUGACGUCAAGUCCUCAUGGCCCUUAUGGGUAGGGCUUCACACGUCAUACAAUGGUCGGUACAGAGGGUUGCCAAGCCGCGAGGUGGAGCCAAUCCCACAAAGCCGAUCGUAGUCCGGAUUGUUCUCUGCAACUCGAGAGCAUGAAGUCGGAAUCGCUAGUAAUCGCAGGUCAGCAUACUGCGGUGAAUACGUUCCCGGGUCUU